rnacentral:snRNA from 1 species
GCAUGUGAUACCUUUUCGG